rnacentral:rRNA from 1 species
GACGAACGCUGGCGGCGUGCCUAAUACAUGCAAGUCGAGCGGACGAAUCGAAAGCUUGCUUUUGAUUCGUUAGCGGCGGACGGGUGAGUAACACGUGUGCAACCUGCCCUGUAGACGGGGAUAACACCGAGAAAUCGGUGCUAAUACCGGAUAACACGAAAUGUCGCAUGACGUUUCGUUGAAAGACGGCGCAAGCUGCCGCUACAGGGUGGGCCCGCGGCGCAUUAGCUAGUUGGUGAGGUAACGGCUCACCAAGGCGACGAUACGUAGCCGACCGGAGAGGGUGAUCGGCCACACUGGGACUGAGACACGGCCCAGACUCCUACGGGAGGCAGCAGUAGGGAAUGUUCCGCAAUGGACGAAAGUCUGACGGAGCAACGCCGCGUGAGCGAAGAAGGCCUUCGGGGCGUAAAGCUCUGUUGUUAGGGAAGAACAAGUAACGCAGUAACUGGCGUUACCGUGACGGUACCUAACGAGAAAGCCACGGCUAACUACGUG